AGAGAAAAGGAAGUGCGUUCUAGUCUCGACCGAUUGAGAUCUUCUAAAAUGGGGUUUUUGUUUUUUGCGUUAUCUUUCUUUGCGUUGAUCAUUGAUCAUUUGCCCAGAAGACGUGACCACCUCGACGCGACGGUCGCUAUGGCCCGAGCUCACAGACUUACCUCGUACAAGGAAACAACAAUUAUCAGUUGAAGAAAUAUGUUGUUUUGGAAAUUCUUUGGAUGUAUACUGUUGUAUUUUCGUCUCAUAGUACGGAUGACUAAUCAUGAAGGCCAUAUCGUGGUCUUUUUUGGUAAUGUUUUAAUUCAUUAUUCACUGUUUUAAUUAACUCAUCAACAAAGCACCAGGCUCAAGAUUCUUCUGUCAAGUAGAGCAAAUAGCUAUCAUAACUUCUAGGUUACAAUGACUUUAAGGAAUGGUCAUUUUGACCCCUUUCACACACAUUUCCAACUUUUUCAGUAAUAACAAAGAGUUACUAAGAUUUUGUUUUCUCCUUGUUAAUAUUGUCUUUCCAUAUCGCCAGUUUCAAGUAUCGUUGCUAUAUUUAAACACUAUUUUGAUUAUGAUGCGCAUUGGAUGACCUAAUGGUUAUAAUUCAAUCUUUCAACAAAUGCAUUUAUGGCCCGCUGUUUGAGUCUUUAUAGCAAAAGAAAAAAACACAUGCAAAAGCAUUUCCUUUAGAUGAGCGGCAUUAACAGUAUAGCUAUUAGCUGCUGUGAGCAAUAUUGAAAAGAGGCAAACGAUAAUGAUAGUGUAUGACAGAGAAAACUAUGUUAGCGAUGCUGACAAAUACUGACACGCUAAAAAAGGAAUAUCAAUUCCAUUAAUCAGCGGUAUAGUGCAAUUAAACUAUCUUAAACUUGAAGGAUACAGAAAACCGGUUAUUUAUAGUCGUACUGGAAAGUUCGGUUUGAGAUCGGUCUAUGAAUAGCUUCGCAAGCCACGGCGUAUUAAAUUCCCCACAUGAUCGACAAGUCUUUCCGAUAAGUUCACUAAUAAAGGCUACACUACAAAGGAUACCAUUCAAUUUAAGUCACAAGAAAAGACAUUCCGGAUUUCUUGAAUUUAAUUACUCGCCACGCCUGAGAGAAGAGAGCAUGCUAUUUCCUUUGUCUAGGAAUGCAAGCCAAGAAUUCGAAGCUCGCGAGGUGACUGCCUCCAGGCGCGUGGGGGCACCAUAUCCGGAAGAGUUUGUAGUGCGUUUAGCCAACCGAGAAUCACUUAUAUAAACCCGGCUUAGCCAGCGAACAGUCAUAAUUCCCAACGUCAAACAACUAUUACACAAGAAAAAGAUCCAGAGUGAUCAGUAACAGUCAAGAAAUAAUCUCAAGUUCCAUUUAUCUAAAAGAACGAAAAUGAAAAUCUCCGUCGCAAUUCUGCUUGUGUUUCUCGCUGUUGGCUUGCUGUGUCCUAGCAACAGCUCAGCCAAACCAAGACCACGGAGGGGAGGUGUUGUUAAUGAAAACUCGUGCUUCAUGGGGUGUGUGCAGUUUUCCCGAAGAUGCAUGAGCCUGUGUACGGAACUUCGUUACAUGAUGAGGAAAAGGCCAGGGCUCAAAAUGCACUGCAGAAAGUUUUGCCAGGGGAGCAGUUUUGUGAGCUGCCUCGUUCAGUGUCCGCAAUGAAGAAAACUCUAAAUAAUCACAAGUUCAGCUGGGUUCAAUGAGCAACAAGAGAUGAGUGAGACAACGUAAACAUACCGUCGCCCGAAUAAUAUCGCGCUUCAAGCAACGCGUGGCGGGAAACGAUGUCGAAAAUGUUACGAUUUCCCUUAUACACGCAGUCACAAGUCCGCCACUAAACAGGAAAAAGAAGAGACAAUUAUCGUUAUUUAUUAUUUAUGUAUAGCAGCAAAAUAUUGUUGCCCCUGUGUCAAGAACGAUACUGCCGAGUGGACAUUCUCAUUAUAAACAAUAACAUAAUAUUUAUUGACAAAUUAUACAAUUGAGUAAAAAAGCUGAUUGUAGAAUAGUUUGUGAAAAUAUUGUAAAUAUUCUGUAAAUUGAAAGUGUUGAGAUUAUAAAUAAAUUCUAUCAGAUAAAA